CAUGGAGGCCUCCGUGAGCGCGGCAGACGUCGAAAACAAUUUUUUUCGGCUUUUGUGACGUGAUAAAUGCCAAGAAAAAAACGUUUUCUUUUUAGGUUGCGUUCACUGACCACUUGCGGUGAGCUAUUGUAAACAAACGUAUGUUUGGUAUGUUUGCGGCCGCAGGACUGUGGUAGCGUGGUCGUUCUGUGGCGUGGGUCGGUGUUCUGGCAAGUGUUCUGUGGGUCGGUCAAUCUAGCGUGUAGAGCAAGUGGUGGUCAGAGCGCAUUCAAGUUUUACACAUAGACGAGCGCAUAGCGGUCACCGCCACAUAUUAGCAAGAUGGAACCGCAGAAGAAACGGAAAAAGCGCGGAAGGUAUAAAAAGUAUCUGAAUCCAAGCAGUGUAUGCAGUGUGCCCAGAUCAACAGACUCAUCAGCUAGGCUGCGGCUCGCUAAAACUGAAUCCAUAAAGGAUGGCUCACACAAUAAAAGUUCGGAUGAAGGUCCGCUGGAUUCGCGGCCGCCCGUCGGUCAAGCGGAGUACACGGUACCGCAAAAUGCGACAUCGAUGGCCGCUGCGGUGUUGGCGGCGGACAGUGCUGUGCAGCAUGCGAAUAAUGACGACGAUGGGCAGCGAUUCCGAUGGAGCGAGCAGCCUAUGUUCUAGAACGCUGACAUCUCCGCAGCCAGCCAUUCCGGGUGAUCGAAGUGAACGACAGAGAGAUCUGCAAGAUAUAGAUGAUGGAGGUGAUUACAGUGGAGACUGUGCCGCCACUGUGUAUGAUCCAUGUGGUGCAAAUCAUUUCAUCAGUGAUGAUGACAACACAGAUUUUGGCAGUUGUGAUGACACAACUGACCCUACAACAA